AUUGAACGCUGGCGGCAGGCCUAACACAUGCAAGUCGAACGAGUGGCGGACGGGUGAGUAAUGUCUGGGAAACUGCCCGAUGGAGGGGGAUAACUCCUGGACCCGGUAGCUAAUACCGCAUACCAUCGGAUGUGCCCCGAUGGGAUUAGCUAGUAGGUGGGGUAACGGCUCACCCCGGCGACGAUCCCUAGCUGGUCUGCGAGGAUGACCAGCCACACUGGAACUGAGACACGUUCCAGACUCCUACGGGAGGCAGCAGUGGGGAAUAUUGCACAAUGGGCGCAAGCCUGAUGCAGCCAUGCCGCGUGUAUGAAGAAGGCCUUCGGGUUGUAAAGCACUUUCAGCGAGGAGGCGUUACUCGCAGAAGAAGCACCGGCUAACUCCGUGCCAGCCGCCGCGGUAAUUC
rnacentral:rRNA from 1 species